AUUGAACGCUGGCGGCAGGCCUAACACAUGCAAGUCGAACGGUAACAGGAAACAGCUUGCUGUUUCGCUGACGAGUGGCGGACCGGUGAGUAAUGUCUGGGAAACUGCCUGAUGGAGGGGGAUAACUACUGGAAACGGUAGCUAAUACCGCAUAACGUCGCAAGACCAAAGAGGGGGACCUUCGGGCCUCUUGCCAUCGGCUGUGCCCAGAUGGGAUUAGCUAGUAGGUGGGGUAACGGCUCACCUAGGCGACGAUCCCUAGCUGGUCUGAGAGGAUGACCAGCCACACUGGAACUGAGACACGGUCCAGACUCCUACGGGAGGCAGCAGUGGGGAAUAUUGCACAAUGGGCGCAAGCCUGAUGCAGCCAUGCCGCGUGUAUGAAGAAGGCCUUCGGGUUGUAAAGUACUUUCAGCGGGGAGGAAGGGAGUAAAGUUAAUACCUUUACUCAUUGACGUUACCCGCAGAAGAAGCACCGGCUAACUCCGUG
rnacentral:rRNA from 1 species